CAUUAUUGAAUCCAAUGGAUGUUGCUGGCCUCUAGGGGCAUGUGCACUCCAAACCAUUUCAAUCCACCUGUGCACUUAUUGUAGUCCCGGAUGUUAAAGUCCGGGUCUAUGUUUUCUAUACACACACUAUAAAAAGUUUAAAGAAUGUCUAGUUGGAAACAUAAAGUUUAAUACAACUUUCAACAAUGGAUCUCUUGGUUCUCGCAUCGAUGAAGAACGCAGCGAAUUGCGAUAUGUAAUGUGAAUUGCAGAAUUCAGUGAAUCAUCGAAUCUUUGAACGCACCUUGCACCCUUUGGUAUUCCGAAGGGUAUGCCUGUUUGAGUGUCAUUAAAUUCUCAACCUUAUGUCUUCCUUUUGAAAGGCUUGGGGAUUGGAAUGUGGGUGUGCCAUGUUUCCUUCCAAGGGAACAGAGGCUCUCCUGAAAUGCAUAAGUGAAUCCAGCUUUCUGCCCUGGGGUUGUUGAAGCUUUGGUUUGAUAGUCCUCUGUUUGUCUAUGCCCCAUUGCUACAACAAAGAGUGCCCCAGAAACCUUGGAAUGUCUGGGUUGCGCUGCAGAUUUGCACCUCCUUUUUGACACUUUGACCUCAAAUCAGGUAGGACUACCC
rnacentral:rRNA from 1 species